rnacentral:rRNA from 1 species
AUGACCUGCCCUGAAGUGGGGAAUAACAUCUCGAAAGAGAUGCUAAUACCGCAUAAGUUCUCUUCCGUUGGGAGGAGAAGAAACCUGCUCCGUGAAAGGAGUGGGGCUACAGGAGGGGUCUGCGGCGGAUUAGCUAGUUGGUGAGGUAACGGCCCACCAAGGCGACGAUCCGUAGCUGGUCUGAGAGGACGGCCAGCCACACUGGGACUGAGACACGGCCCAG